UACGGGGGGGGCAAGCGUUGUUCGGAAUUACUGGGCGUAAAGGGCUCGUAGGUGGCCAACUAAGUCAUACGUGAAAUCCCUCGGCUUAACCGGGGAACUGCGUCUGAUACUGGAUGGCUUGAGGUUGGGAGAGGGAUGCGGAAUUCCAAGUGUAGCGGUGAAAUGCGUAGAUAUCUGGAGGAACACCGGUGGCGAAGGCGGCAUCCUGGACCAAUUCUGACACUGAGGAGCGAAAGCCAGGGGAGCAAACGGG
rnacentral:rRNA from 1 species